GCAAGUCUACGAGAAAGUUACUUCGGUAAUGAUUAAAGUGGCGCACGGGUGAGUAAUGAUUAACUAACGUACCCUUUCGCUGGGGAUAACUGAGGGAAACUUCAGCUAAUACCGAAUGAGCUGCGAUGAUCUUCGGAACAUUUCAGCAAAGCCGCAAGGCGCGAAAGGAACGGGUUAAUUUCCAUUAGCUUGUUGGUGGGGUAAGAGCCUACCAAGGCUGCGAUGGAUAACUGGUCUGAGAGGAUGAUC
rnacentral:rRNA from 1 species